rnacentral:rRNA from 1 species
GCUUUUGAUGGGCGUCGACCGGCGCACGGGUGAGUAACGCGUAUCCAACCUGCCCAUCACUUGGGGAUAACCUUGCGAAAGUAAGACUAAUACCCAAUGAUAUCUCUAGAAGACAUCUGAAAGAGAUUAAAGAUUUAUCGGUGAUGGAUGGGGAUGCGUCUAAUUAGCUUGUUGGCGGGGUAACGGCCCACCAAGGCAACGAUCAGUAGGGGUUCUGAGAGGAAGGUCCCCCACAUUGGAACUGAGACACGGUCCAAACUCCUACGGGAGGCAGCAGUGAGGAAUAUUGGUCAAUGGACGAGAGUCUGAACCAGCCAAGUAGCGUGCAGGAUGACGGCCCUAUGGGUUGUAAACUGCUUUUAUAAGGGAAUAAAGUGAGUCUCGUGAGACUUUUUGCAUGUACCUUAUGAAUAAGGACCGGCUAAUUCCGUGCCAGCAGCCGCGGUAAUACGGAAGGUCCGGGCGUUAUCCGGAUUUAUUGGGUUUAAAGGGAGCGUAGGCCGGAGAUUAAGCGUGUUGUGAAAUGUAGACGCUCAACGUCUGCACUGCAGCGCGAACUGGUUUCCUUGAGUACGCACAAAGUGGGCGGAAUUCGUGGUGUAGCGGUGAAAUGCUUAGAUAUCACGAAGAACUCCGAUUGCGAAGCAGCUCACUGGCGCGCAACUGACGCUGAAGCUCGAAAGUGCGG